rnacentral:tRNA from 1 species
GCCCAGGUAGCUCAGUUGGUAGAGCAGCGGAUUGAAAAUCCGCGUGUCGGCAGUUCGAUUCUGUCCCUGGGCACCA